CCGCGAGCACCUUUGGGACCGGGAGCACCAACAGCACCCUGGGCAGGAGGAAGAGGAGGAAGAGGAGGAGGACAGGGACGGACGCGGGCACCCACCUUGGGACCAGCGAUGCCAUCGGCGCCAGGGAAACCGCGGCUGCCAGGAGCGCCCUGAGGGGGACACGGCACGCGGGGCCGGGGGGACCUUGGACACCAGCGGGACCCUGGGGAAGGACGCGGAGGGAUGAAGACCCCCGGGAGGGGCCGGGGCCAGCAGGGGCCGCGCCCCCAGGGCCACAUCGGGGGGUCACUCACGGGUUC